UUUUACUUAUAAAAUGAUCAAAUAAUAGUUUGUUUGCUACGUGCAAACUAAAGAGACAAAAUAUGGCUAAAAUACUAAAACUUGUUUAUGCUUUAAUUAUAUGGAUUUCUCUAAUUCUUGUUGUAACUAGCCAUAGUUUUCUCCCCUGUGGAACUAACAGGGACUGUAAAGAUGAUUUAUGUUUUCCUCCUCGAAAGCCGCAGUGUUAUUUAGAUUUAUGUCGUUGCGCAUGAUCAUGAUUUAUGUUUUCCUCCUGGAAAGCCGCAGUGUUAUUUAGAUUUAUGUCGUUGCGCAUGAUCGUAACAAUUAAGUUAAAAAUAAAUCUAUGUUCCUUCUAAUAAGUUUCCAAUUUGAUUUGUAUGUCAUAAUGUUUCUAUUAUAUGAAAUUGUUAAUAAACGCCGAGGAACCAUAUUAAAAUAUUUAGAAUCCCUAAACAUAAGAAGUGAAUCAAAUUUCAACCAAAUAUUAUAUCACUUAUGCUAGUAUGCAAUUUUUAAUGCAUAUGUUGUUGCCAUUAGUUCAUCCUAAAAGGACGAAGAGACAAAGGUUGAUACACAAGCAAGCAACCCAUAAAAUAGGUUAUGGUUUAGCCAGAUUCUUAGAGAAGGCAGAGAAACUAAGUUGUAGCCAGUUCUUUGUCUUGAGAAAUCUAAGGUAUAAGUAAGUUGCAAUAGGAGGUAUCUUAGUGAAUUUGUAAUUAGUUUAAUUAUAAUAAAAAUAUAUCAAUUGUUAAGGGAUUGGACGUAACUUUGUAUUAUGAGGUAAAUCAAAAUAAACUUUGUAUGUCUUUUCUCUCUUUAGUGUUUAGUUCAAACACACUUGUAAUUUUUUUUAACUUAAAAAACUUGUUGUUGGACCAAUGGUUCAUGUAGC